MCAAGAACGACUCUCGGCAACGGAUAUCUCGGCUCUCGCAUCGAUGAAGAACGUAGCGAAAUGCGAUACUUGGUGUGAAUUGCAGAAUCCCGUGAACCAUCGAGUCUUUGAACGCAAGUUGCGCCCGAAGCCGUUAGGUUGAGGGCACGUCUGCCUGGGUGUCACAC
rnacentral:rRNA from 1 species